GAUGAACGCUGGCGGCGUGCCUAAUACAUGCAAGUCGAGCGAACAGACGAGGAGCUUGCUCCUCUGACGUUAGCGGCGGACGGGUGAGUAACACGUGGAUAACCUACCUAUAAGACUGGGAUAACUUCGGGAAACCGGAGCUAAUACCGGAUAAUAUAUUGAACCGCAUGGUUCAAUAGUGAAAGACGGUUUUGCUGUCACUUAUAGAUGGAUCCGCGCCGCAUUAGCUAGUUGGUAAGGUAACGGGUUACCAAGGCAACGAUGCGUAGCCGACCUGAGAGGGGGAUCGGCCACACUGGAACUGAGACACGGUCCAGACUCCUACGGGAGGCAGCAGUAGGGAAUCUUCCGCAAUGGGCGAAAGCCUGACGGAGCAACGCCGCGUGAGUGAUGAAGGUCUUCGGAUCGUAAAACUCUGUUAUUAGGGAAGAACAAAUGUGUAAGUAACUAUGCACGUCUUGACGGUACCUAAUCAGAAAGCCACGGCUAACUACGUG
rnacentral:rRNA from 1 species